CCGAUCUAACAACGACAUGCACAUCCAUUUUGUGGUUGGAAACAUCCAAACGCACACGUAUGAAUUAAAGAAAAAUCGAAAAAUAAAGUAAGAAACAGGAAAGCAAAAAACAUCUUGAUUUUUAGACGAGCUCUUUUUGAUCUACAAAGUUGGUACCGAAAGAAGAGAAAUUGGCUAUGUGGUACGAAGGAAAGUCUAAAGUACUACGAAGCGAUAGUAAGUUUUAGUUUCCUCCUUAGUUACCAAACCUGUUGUUACUACUGCAAACUAAAAAAAAGAACCACAUCUACCGAUUAUACUUAUUAAUAUAAUCCUGACGACGCUACAUGCCAUAGUACAUUACAACGAAGUGCUACGUAAGCUGGUAGUUCUUAGUCAUAACCGUCGUUUCAUUGUUUCCAAUGGCGCACUAACGCGUAGUGUACACCAUCACUACUAGGAACGAUCUAACUUCCACAAGGGUGUACAGUACGCCUUAAUUCGUCAUCCGUCCUUUGUUCGGUGAUCGUGUUCGUAUUCGCUUGGUUAAGAUCCUCUCGUGGAGAACGCUAAAUGUUUACAUGAAGCCUAAGAUCGUCUCCUGCUGCCGAGCACGCCACCACAGCCGUUUGCUACCGGAGUCACCCACCUGCGGCUGUGUACGUCGACCACGUGCUACCACUGAAGUACCUCGAGUACAAGGUUCGUUGGGAGAGGAACAACCGAGUCCUCCAAGCGCUAGCUCGAACCCGACGACUAUGGAGAAGGAGCGGCGGGUUGUCCUUAUCGUACUCUACUCGUCGGUUAGGGAGUAAGGAUCGAAAGUAUGGUUCUAAGACACGUGGCCAAGGGGAUGCCAACUUCUACCUCUCGGUAACCAUCAUCUCUCCCCCUUCCCUACAUCUCUGCCUUCGUCGAAGUGAACGGGGCAGAGGGUGGGGUAACGGCUACGUCGCCAGCUUCCUCAACGCCUGGAGCGGUUGUUCGGACACUGGGACGUAGUCCAAACAGAAGGCCAAGAAAAGUCGCUACCGAACUACAUGCGUGACCUUUGGAGGAUACCGUUCAUAAACCGUACGGAGACAAACUCUCUACUCUACACUUCUUUACCGCAAGUCCCUCUUCCUCGUCCGCAACUCCUCACGCUCGUUGUCCAAAACCACUGACCUACAGACUUUGACUUCUCUCCCUUUAAUAAUAAACAAAGACUAACCAACCUCUAGAACACCGAACAACAGGGACCUCGUCAGCGUGGGAUGGUUCUUUCCUAGGGUUGUCUUCCCGAAGACCUACGAUGAUGCGUUAUCGAACCGGAACGUUUACGUUACAUGAAUUGUGUCUUCCGUUCCUGCCAACCAAAACUGUGUUGGUAAAUCAAUAUAGGUAGAUUCUUGGUUGAUCUAUUGACUGAAGGUUCCUUUAGUUAUAGGUAGAUACACAUGCCUUUUGAGCUUCUCCGACUUCUAGCUGACCUUUGAUUUCGAGAGUUCAUGUACCUUCCUAGAAUGUCAUCCCACAACGUUCUGAAGGUUGACACUGGUCGACGUCAACCAAGUCGUUUUUAUAUUUAGAGACCUCGUAGUUGUCGUUUUUAUAUUUAGAGAUCUCGUAGUUGUCUUUCUUUUGCUAUCUUUUAUCUGAUAAACUCGUCGUCGACCACGUCAUCAGACUCAUCUCUAAAGUACCAUCGCUUCCUUGAAACGGCAUAUUAACUCCGGUUUAAGUGUCUUCCUAGUUGUGGGCUUCUGUUGUUAGACUUAGCAUAAAGAGUAUCUAUUCUAUACAACGAUUAGUAGAAUUACUAUGUUGAAAUGUUACUCUGUAACAUGUUUUUUGUUUGUUCAUAAAAACCUCAGACCUACUACUAUGGCUUCCUUAAAGACGAAAUCCGUUACUGCCGGAUGGUUAGUGUGGGUGGUACUUCUCAACGAAUCUGUUGCUUCAGUUAAAGCUAUGGCUACCGUGUACGUCGCUACUGAAAUAGACUACAGGUAGUGAAGUAUUGGUAGAGAUCGAUACACGAAACGAACGAUUAUUGUAACAUUUAUUAGAUAACAUUUGAAGAACCUUGUGAUACAUAGUCGUGACUCAUAGGUAAAGGAAUAGAAGAUUAGUCACAGAUUUAUUAAAAUACACGUACCAAAUUUGAAUAUGAUGAUGUUAAACGAAAUAUUUUAGUUACAUACAAUAAUAGUUCACUGGAGUAUGAAAGAAAACUAGACAGUACCACGGUACAUUAUUCAAUAUUCGACUAAGACUUCGUCAGUGUAUACGUACCAAACUUAUGAGCCGAGCGGGAACGGAAAACACGGUGGUAAGGAAUAACGUAUAUACGAAGAAUGAGAUGUGUACUUAUUCACUAACGAUAUAUCUACAGACAAAGGUACACAAAAGGAUAAAAGAACCUUGAACUUUCUGUCAUAUACGUAGACAGGAUGAAGUCAAACUUGUUCGAUUUUUAGGACAAUAAGAGUUUCAAAAAUAGUAGAUAGUCAUAUACGUCCAUAUAACUACCUUGUACGUAGUUACUGAGACGGAUUACAACUACUGAUGUACAAAACUAGACUGUAUAGUUGUCUUCUAUUUUUUGAGUUGGUGCUCGACUUUCUAAUCCCGAUAGAUAUACUAUAUACCGAUGGAUAUAUCGAACGAAAGAUUUUGGUUACAUAUUCGAUAGUACUUGACACGACUGUUGAAAAAAAACCUGAUGGUACGAUGGAGGAAAUACAUCUACCUUCUCCGUUCUAGUUAGACUUCCCGAACCCCAUGAUGUUAUUGAAUUAUCUACACAACUAUACCGUGUCAUUUCUAACUAAAGAGAUAGAUUUUGACUACAUUUCUACAACGUCAUCACUGUUCGAAAGAAAAGGAAUAACGUUCGAACGCUCUAAGUGAAGCUACAGACUAGAGCUAGUUGGAUAUGAAGAACCGUACACAACGUCCGUAUGUUAGAGUACAGUGUUAGAUGCUCAACCUAGAGAGAGCCAAGUAAGUCCUACUAAUGUUCCUGACGAGUCGGGGUGGUACUUCUCAACGAAUUUGCUACUUUAGCACAAGCCAUGUAUACCCUGUAGGUUGUUACUGAUGGAUUAUGUUGGUGAAAAUACAGAACCAGAAAGAACGACCGUCGUCUAUGUUCUGAGUCGCUUUACAAUUCUCUAUUCGUGAUAUAGAUACUAUGUAGAUACGAUUAUAUUGAACGAACUAUUUCGGUUACAUUCGAUAGUAGUUCACUAGAGUAUAAAAAAAAAACUCGAUAGUACGAUGGUACAUUAUCUUGUAUGUUUGUACACAUGGAUUCAUAGAUGUUACAAACUCUUUCGCCAUUCGCAUUCGCCUCGCCUUCCGGUGUCGAAUCUCGUUAACGGCGAAUUCGCGUCGAAUUGGCCC
rnacentral:rRNA from 1 species